rnacentral:rRNA from 1 species
UACGGGGGGGGCAAGCGUUGUUCGGAAUUACUGGGCGUAAAGGGUUCGUAGGUGGCCACUUAAGUCAGACGUGAAAUCCCUCAGCUUAACUGGGGAACUGCGUCUGAUACUGAGUGGCUUGAGUGCAGGAGAGGAAUGCGGAAUUCCAGGUGUAGCGGUGAAAUGCGUAGAUAUCAGGAGGAACACCAAUAGCGAAGGCAGCUCGCUGGGACGGUACUGACGCUAAGGCGCGAAAGCGUGGGGAGCGAACAGG